rnacentral:rRNA from 1 species
GAUGAACGCUGGCGGCGUGCCUAAUACAUGCAAGUCGAGCGAACGGACGAGAAGCUUGCUUCUCUGAUGUUAGCGGCGGACGGGUGAGUAACACGUGGAUAACCUACCUAUAAGACUGGGAUAACUUCGGGAAACCGGAGCUAAUACCGGAUGAUAUUUUGAACCGCAUGGUUCAAAAGUGAAAGACGGUCUUGCUGUCACUUAUAGAUGGAUCCGCGCUGCAUUAGCUAGUUGGUAAGGUAACGGCUUACCAAGGCAACGAUGCAUAGCCGACCUGAGAGGGUGAUCGGCCACACUGGAACUGAGACACGGUCCAGACUCCUACGGGAGGCAGCAGUAGGGAAUCUUACGCCAUGGGCGAAAGCCUGACGGAGCAACGCCGCGUGGGUGAUGAAGGUCUUCGGAUCGUAAAACUCUGUUAUUAGGGAAGAACAUAUGUGUAAGUAACUGUGCACAUCUUGACGGUACCUAAUCAGAAAGCCACGGCUAACUACGUG